rnacentral:rRNA from 1 species
CCUCCGUGUGUCUGCAGUUGUUACUAUUUCUCAAUGUUCGAAAGCCUGACGCAGCGACGCCGCGUGAGGGAUGAAGGUCUUCGGAUCGUAAACCUCUGUCAGCAGGGAAGAACGGUCACUGUGCUAAUCAGCAGUGAAUUGACGGUACCUGCAAAGGAAGCACCGGCUAACUCCGUGCCAGCAGCCGCGGUAAUACGGAGGGUGCGAGCGUUAAUCGGAAUUACUGGGCGUAAAGCGCUCGUAGGCGGUAUGUCAAGUCAAGGGUGAAAUCCCCGCGCUCAACGUGGGAACUGCCUUUGAAACUGGCAAACUGGAGUGUGUGAGAGGAUAGUGGAAUUCCAGGUGUAGGAGUGAAAUCCGUAGAUAUCUGGAGGAACAUCAGUGGCGAAGGCGACUAUCUGGCACAUAACUGACGCUGAGGAGCGAAAGCGUGGGUAGCAAACAGGAUUAGAUACCCGUGUAGUC